UCCCUGGUAGUCCAGUGGUUAGGACUCAGUGCUUUCACUGCUGUGCACCUAGGUUCAGUCUCUGGUUGGGGAG
rnacentral:tRNA from 1 species